rnacentral:rRNA from 1 species
CAAUAGCGUAUAUUAAAGUUGUUGCAGUUAAAAAGCUCGUAGUUGGAUUUGUGGUUUGUCCCGCCUGCUGGACCUGUUUGGGUCUCUGCGGCGCGGGUCAUCCAUCCUUGGGUGGAAUCCGUGUGGCAUUAGGUUGUCGCGCGGGGGAUGCCCAUCUUUUACUGUGAAAAAAUUAGAGUGUUCAAAGCAGUCUUACGACGUUGAAUAUAUUAGCAUGGAAUAAUGAUAUAGGACCUUGGUACUAUUUUGUUGGUUUGCGCACUGAGGUAAUGAUUAACAGGGACAGUUGGGGGUAUUCGUAUUCCAUUGUAAGAGGUGAAAUUCUUGGAUUUUUGGAAGACGAACUACUGCGAAAGCAUUUACCAAGGAUGUUUNCAUUAA